GAAAAUUAGAUAUAGUCUCAGAGGAUCAGUGAAUACAUUCUAUAAGAUCUGGAGCCCUUUUAGCCAAGAUUACCGCACCCGCUCUAUUUUCCUAUCACUAUCGUAUCGUCAUACUGAGGAGAAAUAAAGCCAUUGUGUGAAACUCCUGGUCUGACUGUAUAUCAUCCAGCAUCUGCACAACUGAGGGUCGUUACGGUUUGUGAACCUGAGGAUCCCAUUGGAAGAACUGGUCCACCCAUCACCUCGCCCAUCAGUGAAGUUACAGCCAGUCAAGUAGUACAUAGCUGAUGGUCAAAGUGAACACCUCCACAACAUCAUGCAACCAACAACUAAUCUGCUUUCAUCUUUCCAGAAGAGAGGCGACCACACGACCUCUUAGAACCUCCACUCUGAUAUGUUGACUGACAGACAUAACACCACUAC